GGGGUUGUGGCUCAGUGGUGGAGCACUCACCUAGCACGUGUGAGGCCCUGGGUUUGAUCCUCAGUACCACA
rnacentral:tRNA from 1 species